AUGGCAUUGCUGAGAAACUUGAAUGCAUUUCUGAGGACAAGCUUAAACCCGACAGAGCCAUUUCACUCCAGGCAUAACACUGUUCAAAGUCAAUGGAAGCAUGAUGUGAGCACAUUGUCUUUAUAUUUUUACAAGUGCUUUUCUAUAUUCCUUUAUUUCCAGGCUAGAAUCCAAAAAUGCAAAUGCCAACCAGAAGACUGCUGUUUUCUUCUUAACCCUUGUUAUCAGUGGGCUGUGGAUGCUUGGGGAGUAAAGCCUGGUGACAGCACUUUACAGAUGGGAAUGUGUUCAGGACAGAACAAGUUGAAGAAAGCAAAAGGGGAACUAUAAAAAGGCUUUGGAAGGCUACCAGGAUUGGGAGCAACCGGGAUGGGAGCAAUUUGGACUGCUGAGAGGAAGCAAGGUAUGGCAUCUAAGCGUUACACCCACAAUGAAAAUAUGGCCAGACUUGGGCUGAGAGCUGUCUGUGUAGAUGAUAGGGGCAUUUUAUGCUAACUCCCAGGCAGAAUCCUGCAUGUAUACAUGCGUUAGGCUUUGGUUUUUUUUGACUCCACUGAGGUAUUUUGGGAGCUAUCUUGGGAAAUCAUUCUGGUGCCCGUGUUGUUG
rnacentral:lncRNA from 1 species